rnacentral:rRNA from 1 species
UACGUAGGGUGCAAGCGUUAAUCGGAAUUACUGGGCGUAAAGCGUGCGCAGGCGGUUAUGUAAGUCAGGUGUGAAAUCCCCGGGCUUAACCUGGGAACUGCAUUUGUGACUGCAUAGCUAGAGUACGGUAGAGGAGGAUGGAAUUCCGCGUGUAGCAGUGAAAUGCGUAGAUAUGCGGAGGAACACCGAUGGCGAAGGCAAUCCCCUGGACCUGUACUGACGCUCAUGCACGAAAGCGUGGGGAGCAAACAGG